UGUCACGGCGGAGGAGAAGCAAAUCGCUGCGGUUGUUUACAAGCAGACUUUCCGCCGUCCUGAGAGUGGCUCAAAUCGUGCAUUUUUUAAUUUCCACCGGAACAUAAAUAGGAAGAAUCUUGUCCGGAGGGAAAGUUCGCCACAACGGUGGCGUUCCUGAUGAGACGUCCUGAAGGGUCUGUUUAUACGAGGGGAGGACGGUGACCGAGGAGCGGAGUGGUCAGCGGCAUCUACUGUAGUGCCGUGAAGUGAGCGUUCUUCACCGUCCUCUCUCUUCUGGAGCCCCUCAUCUCCAAGAGAGACCUCGGCCAACAUGAGUGGAGAGGCAGCAGCUGCUGCAGCAAGGUAGCAGGACACCGAUGGAAGAGACCAACAGAGGAAGGGGUCCCCCGAUGCUGAAGCUGAGCUCAAACAUCUACUAAUGUACUCCCUCCACACACCCAGCUCAGAAGAAGGGACGGUUUUCAAGGUCCUCGUUCCUUCCAGGUUCCACAUAAAUUUAAAAUGUACAUGUUACUUUACCAAGCAAAACAACAGCUGACUGAAAUCAUUUGGACCCUUCAUUUAUUUUCUUUGUAGCCACAGUUUCAUUAAAGAACCGGAUGCCGCCCCACUUCCUCCGCCUCUCUUGACCCUCGUCCCUCUGAGGAAGAUCCUUCAAAACACACCUACGUAGUUCACUUCAAGUUUGACUGAGAUUCUGUGUGUAUUGAAUGAGUAUAAAUGAAUGGGGUUACUUUAUUUUUGCAAAUAAAGUGU